CUAAGUUCAAAGAAAAACAAACUGUAGACAUACGAAAUUACCGCGUUGUCGACUGUGAUAUAGUGAAGUGUUUUUAUUACAUCUGCACCACCCUUGAAUGUAGGCCUAUAUAAAUAAAUAAAAACGAGUUGAUGAGCGUUCGAGAAUGACAAUACUUAUGAGUGCUAUUUCUUGUAAUAUCUAGCUAUUAAUGAGUAAACCAUAAUAGCCAUACACGAUUUUAUUGUAAUUUUACCUUUUGAAUCGAGUGCAUAUAACAUAAAAAAAUACAUAUUCCAUAUAAAAGCCUUAACCUCGUUAAAUACCCCACUUGUUAUACUAUAUGUGUCCUGUGUUUUUUUUUUUUUUUUCCUCGCUGAAGCACAGCUGGAAGUGGCCAUUGCACAGUCACCUCUAAAUAGCAUAUCGGUUUCCAAGGAUACCCGGGAGUAGCAUUUAAAUGACGUCAGUAUUCAUUGAUAGAGUAUUAUCGGCAGUAAUGAGUUCCUCUUCACCAAUAGGAUUCGAUAAGCAGUCUGUUUAGCGAUAGUGGAGUGGUGAAUGAAAGAAAGCUUGGAAAGAGAAAUGCAGCAGGGACUAGUCACACUCUACAAGCGCUGCAUGGCAUAAAGGAGAGGAGCGAGCAUUUCCUGAUACGCUCAGACAAAGUGCGGCACUUUGAAAGCUGUUUAGCACUGAUUGGAGUCCUUUCUGCUCUCCGCCAGAGAGAAUACCUCUUCAGGUGCCGGUGUCAAGCAUCUCUGAUACACGCUGCGCCUCCUCCAUGCUACGAGACCCUCCCCUGAUCAAUCAAGGUUGACAGAGAAGGCCUUUGUGCGACGCUCCAAGGAACAGAUGUCUGCCUGAGAGAGCGCUUCACCUGGAGCUGCUGGAUUAACCGUGGCCUCGCUUUGAUGGAUUAGCAUGUACGGAAAUUGCCCGAUUAUUGAUAUGAAAAUAUUUGCAAACGAGGGGAAACUGGUGACGUGAGGGGUGAGGGGCGCGAAGAUGCUAAGAGAGCUUAUCAGCCUUCCUUCCAACCUUGUCCCUCGCUUCCUACAGAAAGGGGAAAAAGAAGAGGGGUAGAAAAGACAGAUGAGGGCACGGGGAGGAGAAAGAGAACUGCUGUGUGUCAGCGUGGCAGUAUUCAGCUGCCCUUCAUGAAAUAUUGUUCACCAUUAUAUUAACAGAGCUGAGUGGAAAGAGAUAAGAGAGCUUCUGAAAUAGGCAACGGGUGAAUGUGAAAUGUGCCGAGACCUUUAUAAAUGAAGACAGGGCCGGGGAAAUGAUGACAUCAUCAACUCCCACAUAAUUGCUUGAUUUGUCACUCUGUAAAAGGAGAGGAUCUGGGUGGGGGGGGGGGGGGGUGUUGGUCCCUUCAGGACAACCACUUUCAUUACAUUUUUUAACUAGCCACAGAGAGAG
ensembl:lncRNA